rnacentral:rRNA from 1 species
UACGUAGGGGGCAAGCGUUGUCCGGAUUUAUUGGGCGUAAAGAGCGUGUAGGCGGCCUGGAAGGUCAGCUGUGAAAACUCGAGGCUCAACCUCGAGACGUCGGUUGAAACCACCUGGCUAGAGUCCGGAAGAGGAGAGUGGAAUUCCCGGUGUAGCGGUGAAAUGCGCAGAUAUCGGGAAGAACACCGGUGGCGAAGGCGGCAUCCUGGACCAACACUGACGCUGAGGAGCGAAAGCCAGGGGAGCAAACGGG